CACCCGAUGGCUGAAUUUAAGUGUAGAUCUUUUAAAUCUAUAAUAGUAGCUUCCUACUUCUGGUGG
rnacentral:tRNA from 1 species